rnacentral:rRNA from 1 species
ACUCCUACGGGAGGCAGCAGUGGGGAAUAUUGCACAAUGGGCGCAAGCCUGAUGCAGCCAUGCCGCGUGUAUGAAGAAGGCCUUCGGGUUGUAAAGUACUUUCAGCAGUGAGGAAGGUGGUAGUGUUAAUAGCACUAUCAUUUGACGUUAGCUGCAGAAGAAGCACCGGCUAACUCCGUGCCAGCAGCCGCGGUAAUACGGAGGGUGCGAGCGUUAAUCGGAAUUACUGGGCGUAAAGCGCAUGCAGGUGGUUUGUUAAGUCAGAUGUGAAAGCCCGGGGCUCAACCUCGGAAUUGCAUUUGAAACUGGCAGACUAGAGUACUGUAGAGGGGGGUAGAAUUUCAGGUGUAGCGGUGAAAUGCGUAGAGAUCUGAAGGAAUACCGGUGCGAAGGCGGCCCCCUGGACAGAUACUGACACUCAGAUGCGAAAGCGUGGGGAGCAAACAGGAUUAGAUACCCUGGUAGGAUAGCG